AGUGAACGCUGGCGGUAGGCCUAACACAUCCAAGUCGAACGGCAGCACAGUAAGAGCUUGCUCUUACGGGUGGCGAGUGGCGGACGGGUGAGGAAUACAUCGGAAUCUACUUUUUCGUGGGGGAUAACGUAGAGAAACUUACGCUAAUACCGCAUACGACCUACGGGUGAAAGCAGGGGAUCUUCGGACCUUGCGCGAUUGAAUGAGCCGAUGUCGGAUUAGCUAGUUGGCGGGGUAAAGGCCCACCAAGGCGACGAUCCGUAGCUGGUCUGAGAGGAUGAUCAGCCACACUGGAACUGAGACACGGUCCAGACUCCUACGGGAGGCAGCAGUGGGGAAUAUUGGACAAUGGGCGCAAGCCUGAUCCAGCCAUACCGCGUGGGUGAAGAAGGCCUUCGGGUUGUAAAGCCCUUUUGUUGGGAAAGAAAAGCAGCAGGUUAAUACCCCGCUGUUCUGACGGUACCCAAAGAAUAAGCACCGGCUAACUUCGUG
rnacentral:rRNA from 1 species